CCCCCCUCCAGCAGCAGGGAGUUGAGGACACUCUGCUGGGCCGGGAUUCGGGUCUCACUUGCUAUGGGUGGGGGAAGCGGCUCCUGGCAGGUGAGGUGAGUUACACCGUGACUGCUGCUGUGCAGCCCUCCCUGACCUGGGGCCAGCAGAAGCUUGUUACUUUUAUGGGUAUAAACUGUGUAGCCCUAAGCGACAGUCGUCCUGUACAGGCCCAAGGGGAUACACUCUGCACCACUCCUGCUCUGCAAAGAGAUCCUGCCCCAGGCCUGCUGCAUUCUCAGCCUGGCUCCUUCCUCACGCCUUGGGGGCCCCAGUCCAGCAGCAUGUGACACCAUCACAACUCAACCCCACUGCUUGCCUGUGCGACACCCUGCUGCAGCCCUCUCAUGCAGUGUCAGGCCCUUGCUGCCUCUGGCUCAUCCCACACGCAGUCCCCUCCCUUCCCGCUUCUCUCACCUUCUGCCAUGACAGCUGGGAGGGAAGGGUGGGGAUUCGCCUCAGCUGGUGAGUGCUGGAAGGCUCUCCACACUCCCCAUGUGCUGUCAGCCUGGAUGGGGACACUCCUGGGACUCACCCGGGAUGGACUAACCCUUUCUGUUUUCCCACAGUCCACCCUGCUUAAAGGCAGGAAACAAAAUCUCUGCCAAAGGCCUGAUUCGGCUUGCCAGUAACACUGUAAGUAUAGGGGAGGUAAGGGGAGCCCACUGGUACGGACACGUAAGAACAGCACAUAGUUAAUUGUCUUUCUUUGACUCAUCCUUCCCAUGUUGCUCGUUUUCUUUAGACUGAGAGCUCAUCGGGACAGUGACUGUCUCUACAGCCCAGGUCUGCGCCAGCCAGAGUGACACUGCCCUCCACCUCAAGAGUGAGGCCCCAGAGACUCUUUGAUUUGGUCCCAAGAAACACCUGGCUGUGCACCAUCUGCAAAGGGCAGCCUGGUGCCUGGUGGCAGCACAGCUCGCUGGGCAGUUGGAAGAGCUCCCGUUCCCCUAUAGAAGCGUGGGCUGAGCAUUCAGAGGCUGCAUGCAGAGUGGACCUGGAACAGAUGGGGGUCAAUGAACCUCUCCCAGUCAGAGUGAUGCCAAGGACAGGAGACAAUGUAACCAGCUGAGCAAAGCACUGGCAGAAUCAAGAAGGCACAGAGAGGAGGACGGGUGCCACAAAUGAGAGA